UACGAAGGCCCCGAGCGUUAUCCGGAUUUAUUGGGCGUAAAGAGUGCGCAGGUGGUCUUGCACGUCUGUUGUUAAAUGUCUCAGCUUAACUGGGUCACCGCAAUGGAUACGACAAGACUAGAGCAUGUAAGAGGUGACUAGAAUUCACGGUGUAGGGGUGAAAUCCGUUGAUAUCGUGGAGAACACCAAAGGCGAAGGCAGGUCACUGGUACAUUGCUGACACUCAGGCACGAAAGCGUGGGGAGCAAAAAGG
rnacentral:rRNA from 1 species